rnacentral:tRNA from 1 species
GUCCCCGUAGUUCAAUGGACAGAACGAGAGCCUUCUAAGCUCUAAAUCGUGGUUCGAUUCCACGCGGGGGCACCA